rnacentral:rRNA from 1 species
GUGUGAGGCUGAUGUGUAGGCAAAUCCGCACAUCGUAAGGCUGGGCUGUGAUGGGGAGCGAAAAUUGCAGUAGCGAAGGUCAUGAGUUCGGGCUGCCAAGAAAAGCCUCUAGCCAGGUGAAGGUGCCCGUACCGCAAGCCGACACAGGUAGGCGAGCAGAGUAUGCUAAGGCGCUCGGAAGAACUCUCGUUAAGGAACUCGGCAAAAUGACCCCGUAACUUCGGGAGAAGGGGUGCCUCGGUAGGGUGAAUAGCCCGAGGGGGCCGCAGUGAAAAGGCCCAAGCGACUGUUUAGCAAAAACACAGGUCUGUGCGAAGCCGUAAGGCGAAGUAUACGGGCUGACGCCCCCCGGUGCUGGAAGGUUAAGGGGAGUGGUUAGCCGCAAGGCGAAGCUAUGAACCGAAGCCCCAGUAAACGGCGGCCGUAACUAUAACGGUCCUAAGGUAGCGAAAUUCCUUGUCAGGUAAAUUCUGACCCGCACGAAUGGCGUAACGACUUGGGCGCUGUCUCAACGAGAGAUCCGGUGAAAUUUUAAUACCUGUGAAGAUGCAGGUUACCCGCGACAAGACGGAAAGACCCCAUGGAGCUUUACUGCAGCUUGAUAUUGGACUUUGGUACGAUCUGUACAGGAUAGGUGGGAGCCUUGGAAACCGGAGCGCCAGCUUCGGUGGAGGCAUCGUUGGGAUACCACCCUGAUCGUAUCGGAGUUCUAACCUGGUACCGUGAUCCGGUACAGGGACCGUGUCAGGUGGGCAGUUUGACUGGGGCGGUCGCCUCCUAAAAUGUAACGGAGGCGCCCAAAGGUUCCCUCAGAAUGGUUGGAAAUCAUUCGUAGCGUGCAAAGGCAUAAGGGAGCUUGACUGCGAGACCUACAAGUCGAGCAGGGACGAAAGUCGGGCUUAGUGAUCCGGUGGUACCGCAUGGAAGGGCCAUCGCUCAACGGAUAAAAGCUACCCUGGGGAUAACAGGCUUAUCUCCCCCAAGAGUCCACAUCGACGGGGAGGUUUGGCACCUCGAUGUCGGCUCAUCGCAUCCUGGGGCUGAAGUAGGUCCCAAGGGUUGGGCUGUUCGCCCAUUAAAGCGGUACGCGAGCUGGGUUCAGAACGUCGUGAGACAGUUCGGUCCCUAUCUGUCGUGGGCGUAGGAAAUUUGAGAGGAGCUGUCCUUAGUACGAGAGGACCGGGAUGGACGCACCGCUGGUGUACCAGUUGUUCCGCCAGGAGCAUAGCUGGGUAGCUACGUGCGGACGGGAUAAGCGCUGAAAGCAUCUAAGCGUGAAGCCCCCCUCAAGAUGAGAUUUCCCAGUAUGUAAGACCCCUGGAAGACGACCAGGUUGAUAGGUUCGAGGUGGAAGCGCAGCAAUGCGUGGAGCUGACGAAUACUAAUCGGUCGAGGGCUUAUCUA